rnacentral:rRNA from 1 species
GACGAACGCUGGCGGCGUGCUUAACACAUGCAAGUCGAACGGAAAGGCCCUGCUUUUGUGGGGUGCUCGAGUGGCGAACGGGUGAGUAACACGUGAGUAACCUGCCCUUGACUUUGGGAUAACUUCAGGAAACUGGGGCUAAUACCGGAUAGGAGCUCCUGCUGCAUGGUGGGGGUUGGAAAGUUUCGGCGGUUGGGGAUGGACUCGCGGCUUAUCAGCUUGUUGGUGGGGUAGUGGCUUACCAAGGCUUUGACGGGUAGCCGGCCUGAGAGGGUGACCGGCCCACAUGGGACUGAGGAACCGCCCAAGAUCCUACGGGGAGCAAGAGUGGGGAAUAUUUCACAAUGGGCCGAAGCCUGAUGCAGCAACGCCGGGUGCGGGAUGACGGCCUUCGGGUUGUAAACCCCUUUUGCCUGUGACGAAGGCUGAGUUACGGUAAUGGGGUAAGAAGCACCGGCUAACUACGUG